AGUGGCCGAGCGGCGUCGUGGGGUUACCCCGCCCGCGCCAGCGCUGCAUCCCUGGCCGCUACCCGGGGAGAGCCGGAGGAUGAAUUGAACCUCGCAGCCGCUGCUAUCUCCAGUGCUCAUCACAGGGUGUGGUGUCUAUCUGAAGAAUAUUUUACUUUCAAAGGAAAGAUGCUGUCUCCAAAUGAUAAAAUGUUAGGAAAACUGGAUCCAUUUUAUCAACCUUCAGUGUCCAAGCAGAAGACCAGUGCAGAAAUCAUAAGUGAAGCAAGAAAUGCAUUAAGAACAGUUAGAACCCAAAGACCAUUUACACCACAGGAGGCUCAAAGAAAACUAUUCGGACCUGCAUCCUCAAGAACAUCAGAAAAUAGACCUCCUUCCUCCUUCAGCCUCCAUGCAUCCAGUUUUGAGUCAUCUGAUUCCAGGCCUAUCUCUGGCACACGUCUUAGUCCACUAGAGCUGAAACCGAAAGUUCCAGCAUCUCCCACCAGAGAGGAGGAUUCCUGCUUUUCCUUUCCUAAGCCCCCAGUGGACCCUGCGAAGAUUAGAAGAGUAAGCAACGCCAGGGCUCGCUUAUUCAGGGCUGCCUCCCAGCGGGCCCUUCUGCCGGACAGAUCCCUUCCUCCCUCCGACUCAAAGAAGACAGUGGAAUCCAAAGAAACAGUUAUGAUGGGGGACUCUAUGGUGAAAAUAAAUGGGAUUUAUUUAACAAAAUCAAAUGCUAUUUGCCACUUAAAGAGUCACCCACUUCAGCUAACUGAUGAUGGAGGCUUCAGUGAAAUAAAGGAGCAAGAAAUGUUCAAAGGAACAACAUCUUUACCAUCUCAUCUCAAGAAUGGAGGGGACCAGGGGAAGAGACAUGCGAGGGCCUCAUCAUGCCCCAGUAGCUCAGACCUGAGCAGGCUGCAAACCAAAGCAGUCCCAAAAGCUGACCUGCAAGAAGAGGACGCAGAAAUAGAAGUAGACGAAGUCUUUUGGAAUACAAGGAUUGUACCGAUUUUGCGUGAAUUAGAAAAGGAAGAAAACAUUGAAACGGUUUGUGCUGCUUGCACACAACUUCAUCAUGCUUUAGAGGAAGGAAACAUGCUUGGAAAUAAAUUUAAGGGAAGAAGUAUUCUCCUGAAGACCCUGUGUAAACUAGUUGAUGUUGGUUCAGACUCGCUCAGCCUUAAACUUGCAAAAAUAAUUCUAGCACUUAAAGUGAGUAGAAAGAAUCUUCUUAAUGUCUGCAAACUUAUAUUUAAAAUUAGCAGGAAUGAGAAGAAUGAUUCUUUGAUUCAAAAUGACAGCAUUCUGGAAUCAUUAUUGGAGGUACUAAGAAGUGAAGACCUGCAAACUAACAUGGAAGCUUUUUUAUACUGUAUGGGGUCUAUAAAGUUCAUUUCUGGAAAUCUGGGAUUUCUUAAUGAAAUGAUCAGCAAAGGUGCUGUGGAAAUACUGAUAAAUUUGAUAAAACAAAUAAAUGAGAACAUCAAGAAAUGUGGUACAUUUUUGCCUAAUUCGGGCCACUUGCUAGUCCAGCCUGACCCAGUUGAUUUUGAAUUCAAUCCUUAGAGAAAUGUAUUAUUUGCCUUCUUUAGAUAUACUGUUUUUGAAGUUAGAACUGUUCUGCAGCACCCCAGAGAUGGAGUCUUGCUCUGUCGCCCAGGCCAGAGUGCAGUGGCAUGAUCUCAGCUCACUGCAACCUCCACCUCCCGGGUUCAAGCAGUUCUCCUGCCUCAGCCUCCCAAGUAGAUGGGAUUACAGGCACGUGCCGCCACUUUUUUAAUGAUGUAUUUGUUAAUGGGAAGGAGACAGCUAUUUUCUACUUAUGGGGCUUCCUUCCUAUAAAAGAAUUGCCAGCAGCAUAACUAACCACUCACGUGCCCAGUUGCCACGAGAGAGUAGGCAUUUGGGGCCCAGGUUCUUCCUCUUCCCUUCUCUUCCCUUUCCUAGGAAGGAGCUGUCUAUAGGCAACUCAUGUUCUCCUCCAAUUUUCCAGGGACAGCAGAUCUGAAGAUCUGAGAAGACUCAGAAACCUAAAUAUGUAAUGCCUUGGGUUUUUUACUUGGAAAUAAGAGGCUAAGGAGGCUGGGGAUGGGGAUAAAGUUAUCACCGUGGUUGGAGGAUGUGGCUGAUAGCUGAGGCAGGCAUGCUUUCUAAUCCUGAGUCCUAGAAUUAGAUUUACCCACCCAGUCACAGACCAUGUCUGUCCCUGGAGGAGCAGAACACCUUUGUUCUGAUGGCAGCUCACUUCUAAAAGAGGAAGGGAAGAGAGGGACCAGGUAGGGGCUGGACUGGGAGGGUCUGAUUCCUGUCCCAAGCUCACCAAUCAGGAAGUGAGGGCGGUGGAUGGCCAGGAGUGUUAUGCUAAAAGACAGAUCAAGGGUGGAAAUGAGGCUCCUACUGUGUCUGAGGAGAGCCAUUUGCUCUCAAUUAGUGCUCUGUCUGCUCAGCCUCCUCUCUUCACUGUAGAUCUAUUAGUUGUGGCAGUAAGGAAAUGUCACUAGCUUUAGCAUAUAAUUGUGAAUAGUGGUUUCAUUGCUUGGUAGUUCUUAAUGCACUAUCUUUUUCAGACUCCUUUUUCUUGUUUUGCUGCAUUGCCAUUCUAGAUUGUUUGUAUGAUAUUCAAAAUUUCUCCUGUAUUGAAUACAUACAUAGCCACAACUAGAAGAAUCAGCUACCUACUCAUUUUAGUGAAGUAACUGGCAUAGAGGCAGUAAAUGGAGAAACAACAAUAAACAGAGCCAAAUGUUAAAUAGAGUCUCAAAGUAGGACAUUGGAGGUUUAAGGAGGACAGAAGCAUUUCCUGCUAAGUCGGACACCCAUGGUAGGGAUGUGCCAAGUAGGCCUGUGUAGCCAGGCACCGAGUGUUAUCAAGGAUUAUUAAUUAAUAUUACCUUCAUAUGCAUAUAUCUUAAUAAAUUCCAAGAAAAGCUUAGACAUGCAUGUUACCAGUGAUUUCACAUGUCUAGCAGCAUCUUGUCAUUGGUUUCUUUUGUCUCAGCCAGAACUGUACAAAUCAUAUAUGAGACAAUAUGAAACUUCUUGGGUUACCACACAGGCUCUGGUUUUGGCAUAUAUGUGGCCUCAAUUGGGCACAAGUUCAAAGAAAUGAAUCUGCCUUUAUUAAUAGAGGGAGAUGGCUUAGCUGAGGUUGGAAAAUAGUGGCUUUAGUCAUAAAUCAUUUCACACUGUUUGUGGUCUCUGGCGGCUGCGUUUAUUCUUUUACAUCAUCAGUGGGAAGUCAACAAUUUUGCAGUUGGCAGUUAAGUUGAGACAAAGCUCGAGGGAUUUCAGUUGUGGAUAUUCCAGAUGAUUGCAAAAUGCUUUUAGAGACCAGUGCCAAAUAGAGUAGGGAGGCAAUAGACCAAGAAACUGAGGCCAGGGCACUAGCCUACCUGGGAGCUGAUAGACUUCUGAGCUUCAAUGAGUCACAAGCUCCUCUGAUCUGGGGCAGCUCUGAUGGCAGGUUGCCUUCUAGAGCAGAAUCUGGUGAGUUCCUUGAGGACAGAGUACUCUGAUGGAGGAAGGGCACAGAGGGAAAAGAGAGGGCCGUCCACUCUGGACAUGAUCAGUGUGUGUGGAGGUUGCCCCACCUCGCACCCACCCACUGCAGUAGAGAACGCAGGAAUGAGACCACAGCUGCUGGGCCUGUGUUGUGUCCUCAAGUCCAGUGAUCCAAGUCCGGAGGGCCCCCCCACCCUUUUUUUUUUCUUGAGACAGAGUCUCACUGUGUCACUCAGGUUGGAGUGCGGUGGUGCGAUCAAAGGCAUGGCUCACUGCAGCCUCAGCCUCUGGGGUUCAGGCGAUUCUCCUGCCUCAGCCAUGAGAGUCGCUGGGAUUACAGACCUGAGCCACUGGGCCCAGCCCCAUAUUUUAAGACAAAUAUUUCCUGUGUUUGCUAAGGUUUCUCAAUUAAUUAAUAGUUGAAAACACAAUUUGAAAUUGAUAAUUAAGUACCUAUAGUCAACUUGAAAAAAACAGAAGCUAAAGCUUUUGAGUUCUCAUUUUACUGUAUUAAAAUGUAGUUGUGCAUUUAUAAAUGAUCUAAUUUCUUCUUAGUACAUUUUUUCCCUUUAAAAUGGGUCUCCCAAUACUGACUACACAAUGAAAACUUUGAGGCUUACAUAAUUCAAUGUGAGCUGGGUAGCUUUGCCAAGUCUCCAGGUGUUUUCCCUGACUGAGGGUGGUACCUGUUAUGAUCAAAUAAUUUGGGGAACAUGGAAAGAAGCUUUCUCAGAAAAGUGAGCACCAGAAAGUUGUCAAGUGUAGCUCAGUCAUUUUUCAGUAGUAGAUUGGUAACCAGAAGCAAAAUGGAAUGUUUCUUCCUGGGUAUUUACCAAAACCUUAGGUCCCCUUUUGUCCUAAACAUCACCUAACAAUUGCUAAUAAGCAAGGAAACUUACAUUUGUAUUAGUCCUCUUUGUGGAUUAUCAGUGUCAUUUUCUUCUCUUUUUUCUUCUUCCUAUGGGCUGCCUUCAGGAUUGCAAGUCCCACAGGAUUGCAAGUUAAGAGAUGGGGGAAAAGAUAGGAAUUAAAACUUGUGUUUUUCAGUGUGCUAUUUCUUGGUGAAAUGCUACUUAAGAGGUUGAGAAUUUCUCUACUAAGUCCUUUAGAGACUAAACAAGACUUUUUUUAAGUAAGGGAUUUGAGGUGGUUUGAAAGAUUAUAUACAAUAAAAAAGAAAAAUGUGUGUUUAAGUUUGUGCAUUUAUAGAUAAUAUAAAUUAGAAUAGAAAGUUAAGAAAGAAAUGGAUGCACACCUCCAAGCAUGAAGCUUGGGCUUUGGUUAACUCCUGCUUUGGGGGAGGGCCCAGUGGGUGGGCUUUUCUUGAGGGUGGGAAAUAAAGACCCUGCUGUAGAGCACAGAACUCAUUGAUAAUUUUCACAGAUUUAUCUCUGUUCAACUGAGAGUUCUUGUUUUCUUUUUUUUAAUUUUCACUUGUAUAUAAUGAAUUCAAAAGUAGGAGCAAAAUUCAGUUAAAUGGGUUGACUUGGAACUUGCCUUUACUGUGACCACAUGAUUUAGCUAGACUCUCCUCCCCACACCCUUUUUUUUUUUUUUUUCCUGCAUUUUUUCCAGAAAAGGCCACUGGUCUGAGCAUUCAGGGCCCCACCAUCAUCCCACAGUGAGAUUGGUGGCUCUCAGAGGUUGGUGACAAGUCUCUCAAGAUACAGGGCCUUCAGAGCUGCAUCUGCGUGGUGGCCUUUUCCUGAUCCUUCUCCCUCAGGGUUUUAGGCCCUGGUUCACCCAGGCCUCUGCUAAGCUCCCGCACUUUCUUGCCAGAGGUGUCUUAAAGGGAAAAACCUCUCUUUUGUCGCUCCUGUCCCUUCUUUCUUUCUUCCCCCUCCUCAUUCCCCUCCUCCUUCCCCUUCUCAUUCACUCUUCCAGCCCUCCAGUAGCUGAACAUUUAAGAGCUUUUUAUGAGCACAUUUGUUGUCCUCUGAAUAGAAAGAGGAAUAAGAAGUGGUUUGUACCCUAGAGGAGCUCACCAUGGG